UUGACCUCAAAUCGGGUGAGACUACCCGCUGAACUUAAGCAUAUCAAUAAGCGGAGGAAAAGAAACUAACAAGGAUUCCCCUAGUAACUGCGAGUGAAGCGGGAAAAGCUCAAAUUUAAAAUCUGGCGGUCUUUGGCCACCCGAGUUGUAAUUUA
rnacentral:rRNA from 1 species